rnacentral:pre_miRNA from 1 species
AUAGUACUCCCUCCGUCCGGAAAUACUUGUCAUUAAAAUGGAUAAAAGGGGAUGUAUCUAGAUGUAUUUUAGUUCUAGAUACAUCUCUUUUUAUCCAUUUUGAUGACAAGUAUUCUCGGACGGAGGGAGUAUUGG